CAUUAUCGAACAGGAGGAGGGGGAAGACUGUCGCUGGCUUCUUCGCGGAAGCAUGUGCACGUCGAUGACCUUCCUUUCACAUCCACACACCUGUGCACCCAUUGUAGGGGAUCCUCGCAAGAGGAAACCCUAUGUAUUAUCUCAUUACACCGAGUCUAUAGAAUGUAUCGAGUUCGAUAAAUAAAUUACAACUUUCAGCAAUGGAUCUCUUGGCUCUCGCAUCGAUGAAGAACGCAGCGAAUUGCGAUAAGUAAUGUGAAUUGCAGAUUUUCAGUGAAUCAUCGAAUCUUUGAACGCACCUUGCGCUCCUUGGUAUUCCGAGGAGCAUGCCUGUUUGAGUGUCAUUGAAUUCUCAACCAAUGUCUUGAUUGACAUUGGCUUGGAGUUUGGGGGGAUUUGCUGGUGGCCCCCAUCAGCUCUCCUGAAAUACAUUAGCGGUGGGCGGUCGAGUCUCUUGACGUGCACGGCCUUUGACGUGAUAAUGAUCGUCAUGGCUGGAGCGUUCUGAUGUCGAUCCAUCUCAUGGCUUCUAAAGACAAAGGGUCUGAUCGCUAUUAGUUGGUCUUUUCAAGGCUGACGAACGUGACUGGACGCUAGUUGUUUUGUUGACCUCAAAUCAGGUAGGACUACCCGCUGAACUUAAGCAUAUCAAUAAGCGGANGAAAAGAAACUAACAAGGAUUCCCCUAGUAACUGCGAGUGAAGCGGGAAAAGCUCAAAU
rnacentral:rRNA from 1 species